CUGUUCAGUCAGUCUCAGAGAGGAUGACUUUGGAUGUUAAACUUUGUACAAAAAGAGGACAUGUUUUCCUUAUUUUCCCUCUUGAGUCUGCUUAUUCUUCAGGCCUACCUGCUGCUUGAAGAACCAUCAAGUGAGCAUUGGCAAAGGUUUGGGAGCUCCUACUGAUCCUGCAGCCCCUGGAAUAUGGUGUGAGACUCUACACCUGGCACAGCAGCUGCAGCAAGAAUGGACCGUCUGCUGCAGGAGAUGCUGCUGAGGAACAAAUCAACGUAUAGCAACAGAUGUGGCUUGCACCUGGAUAUAUCUUUCAGCUCUUUCAGGCAGCUUUCCUCCAGCCCCCACAGACUGGCACUGAGGUGUACAGACAUGGUAUCAGUGCCAGUGUAACCACAGCAUACCAGAGACACCUGUCCACACUAACAAACACCUCAAAAGAAGCAACAAGUUAACCAGAGGGUGAAGAAGGGCUAAAAGUUCCCUACAGAGCACAGGGAGCAAGAAGUAAUGCACAGUUCUAUCCUACAAUCAAGCAAGUUACACAUGACUGGAGAAGAAUACUUGUUUUAUGAUGCUGUUUAGAUUUUAUCAAUCAUGCAUAUAUGCAUCAAACAUAAUUUGUCUGAGACGGGAUAUGAAGUAAAAAUGUAUUUGAAGCAGGAAAAUUAUAGAGACUGAAUUUAUGCAGGUUGCAAAGGCAGAGUGACACAGAUAGUGAAAAGACAUCUUUGAAGUGUGCACAGUAUAACCAUUGCAGUAUGUGAACUCCAUAGAGCAUGACAGUCAUUCCUGUCCUAUUAGAGGUUUGAUUUGAGCAAAGAUGAAAAUACCAAAUAAUGCCAGCAGAGGGUGCACAAUGUCUGUCCAGAAAUGUCUUGGCCAGGGAAAUGAAGGCUUUUUUCAUGCAGUCAUAAUGUAGUUUUAAGUGAAUGGAGAAAUUGUUGUAUUUUAGGUAAUAUGGCAAAGUGAGCAUUUUCAUUGGAAGGAUCACUUCACAAAAAGACUACAUUGAUUUUUUUUUUUUACACAUCUAUGAUUUACAAAACAUUGGCUUCCCCUAUAUGUGAGAGAGAGCACUGGUUGUGAAUGGAGCUUCUGACCUGAUGACCAGAAGUUGUGAACAUUACAUCACAGUGAUGUAAUCACAGAUGAGGGGUUACCCGUCGGAGAAACUCGGAGGGGAAGCAAUUACUCAAUAAUUGUGCAGUAAUAAUAAUACUAGCAACCUGAUCACGUAAUGAAAACCUUUCUUUCCGUAUCACUGUGUUUGUUUUAUACUUUCAUUACUGAAGCAUAACUACACUAGAGAGUAUUGAACAUUUAUUCUCUCCUGGGACUGACAGCAAUCACGUGAACAACACUGGGUAUAAUCUAAAGAAUAAAAUGUACCAGAACCAUCAAGAAAAUUGAGCAUCCACGCUUCCUUAGAAAACACUCAUCCAUCACAUAAAUGAGCUUAGCUUCAGUGACGUGUUCUAUUUCCAUAUGAGACAGUAUCAGGCCGGUGACAUGUUGCCUGAACCCAAUCAACGUUGAAAGAAGUUAUAUAACAUUAUAUAAUCCCAUAAAGCAAAGUGGUCCAGUGUAAUGAGGGGGAACUUCUCAAAGUUGACAUCAUAGUAAUAUUUAUUGUAUGUGCUUGGCUUGCAUUCUUGUCAGGCGUGUACAGCACAUUAGCUCUUAUGGAGCAGCCAGAUUCCUUUCAGCUAAAAGAAAGACACGUGCUGCAGCAAGGGGACACUGUGGAGGACAGCGGGGACAGAUCGGGUCAAGAUGAGUGCAUUAAUUUAUCCUUCAAUUUAAUCUGUGGUAUUUUUUACUCAUCAAAAAGUACUGACAAAUCUGAAUGGAUAGAAAUUUAACAAAAAGAAAAAUGUGAAGUCAUACUUUUUGUUUCAUCCUUGUCUUACAUCAUUAGGAAGUCUUGCUGCUGUGAUUGAUUUUUCUCGUUGCUUAAAGAUCACAAUCACCUAAUA